rnacentral:snRNA from 1 species
GUCCCUUCGGGGACAUCCGAUAAAAUUGGAACGAUACAGAGAAGAUUAGCAUGGCCCCUGCGCAAGGAUGACACGCACAAAAAAUGUAUGUGUAUAU